rnacentral:rRNA from 51 species
UGAGUUCUCCCUGAGACUUAGAGUCUCCUGAAGGAACGUUGAAGACGACGACGUUGAUAGGCCGGGUGUGUAAGCGCAGCGAUGCGUUGAGCUAACCGGUACUAAUGAACCGUGAGGCUUAACCUUACAACGCCGAAG